AUACGGAGGGAGCGAGCGUUAAUCGGAAUCACUGGGCUUAAAGAGUACGUAGGCGGCCUGGUAAGUUGGGUGUGAAAUCCCACGGCUCAACCGUGGAACUGCGCUCAAUACUGCCAGGCUCGAGGGAGAUAGAGGUGAGCGGAACUGAUGGUGGAGCGGUGAAAUGCGUUGAUAUUGUGAGGAACGCCGGUGGCGAAAGCGGCUCACUGGAUCUCUUCUGACGCUGAGGCACGAAAGCUAGGGUAGCGAACAGGAUUAGAAACCCCGGUAGUCC
rnacentral:rRNA from 1 species